rnacentral:rRNA from 1 species
CCCUUAGAUGUCCUGGGCCGCACGCGCGUUACACUGAUGCAUUCAACGAGCUUAUAACCUUGGCCGAGAGGCCUGGGCAAUCUUGUUAACGUGCAUCGUGAUAGGGAUAGAUUAUUGAAAUUAUUAAUCUUGAACGAGGAAUUCCUAGUAAACGCAAGUCAUCAACUUGCAUUGAUUACGUCCCUGCCCUUUGUACACACCGCCCGUCGCUACUACCGAUUGAAUGAUUUAGUGAGUACCAGGGACCGAGCGCUUUGGUUGGGUUUCCUUCCCUAGCGCUUGGGAACUGUCGCAAACUUGACCAUUUAGAGGAAGUAAAAGUCGUAACA